GGGUUGUGAGGUUAAGCGACUAAGCGUACACGGUGGAUGCCCUGGCAGUCAGAGGCGAUGAAGGGCGUGCUAAUCUGCGAUAAGCGCCGGUAAGGUGAUAUGAACCGUUAUAACCGGCGAUACCCGAAUGGGGAAACCCAGUGUGAUUCGUCACACUAUCAUUAACUGAAUCCAUAGGUUAAUGAGGCGAACCGGGGGAACUGAAACAUCUAAGUACCCCGAGGAAAAGAAAUCAACCGAGAUUCCCCCAGUAGCGGCGAGCGAACGGGGAGGAGCCCAGAGCCUGAAUCAGCAUGUGUGUUAGUGGAAGCGUCUGGAAAGGCGCGCGAUACAGGGUGACAGCCCCGUACACAAAAGCGCAUGUGCUGUGAGCUCGAUGAGUAGGGCGGGACACGUGGUAUCCUGUCUGAAUAUGGGGGGACCAUCCUCCAAGGCUAAAUACUCCUGACUGACCGAUAGUGAACCAGUACCGUGAGGGAAAGGCGAAAAGAACCCCGGCGAGGGGAGUGAAAAAGAACCUGAAACCGUGUACGUACAAGCAGUGGGAGCCCCACCACUAAGCCAGUGGUGAACUCCACAUACGCAUCCUUUGCUGAGGAUACGGUUAACGGAGCGAAAGCGACGUUCAACCUCAAAAGAAGCAGAGGGGGCUUAGUGGUGGGGUGACUGCGUACCUUUUGUAUAAUGGGUCAGCGACUUAUAUUCUGUAGCAAGGUUAACCGAAUAGGGGAGCCGGAGGGAAACCGAGUCUUAAUUGGGCGUUAAGUUGCAGGGUAUAGACCCGAAACCCGGUGAUCUAGCCAUGGGCAGGUUGAAGGUUGGGUAACACUAACUGGAGGACCGAACCGACUAAUGUUGAAAAAUUAGCGGAUGACCUGUGGCUGGGGGUGAAAGGCCAAUCAAACCGGGAGAUAGCUGGUUCUCCCCGAAAGCUAUUUAGGUAGCGCCUCGUGAAUUCAUCUCCGGGGGUAGAGCACUGUUUCGGCUAGGGGGCCAUCCCGGCUUACCAACCCGAUGCAAACUGCGAAUACCGGAGAAUGUUAUCACGGGAGACACACGGCGGGUGCUAACGUCCGUCGUGAAGAGGGAAACAACCCAGACCGCCAGCUAAGGUCCCAAAGUCAUGGUUAAGUGGGAAACGAUGUGGGAAGGCCCAGACAGCCAGGAUGUUGGCUUAGAAGCAGCCAUCAUUUAAAGAAAGCGUAAUAGCUCACUGGUCGAGUCGGCCUGCGCGGAAGAUGUAACGGGGCUAAACCAUGCACCGAAGCUGCGGCAGCGAACGUAUCACCCAAGACAACUUUACGGAGUUGACGAUUGACGGAGCGAAGCGACGUCAAAGCGUUCAUUAAAGUCGAGUUGGCUUAGGGAUACGUUCGUUGGGUAGGGGAGCGUUCUGUAAGCCUGUGAAGGUGGCCUGUGAGGGUUGCUGGAGGUAUCAGAAGUGCGAAUGCUGACAUAAGUAACGAUAAAGCGGGUGAAAAGCCCGCUCGCCGGAAGACCAAGGGUUCCUGUCCAACGUUAAUCGGGGCAGGGUGAGUCGACCCCUAAGGCGAGGCCGAAAGGCGUAGUCGAUGGGAAACAGGUUAAUAUUCCUGUACUUGGUGUUACUGCGAAGGGGGGACGGAGAAGGCUAUGUUGGCCGGGCGACGGUUGUCCCGGUUUAAGCGUGUAGGUGUGUGUUCCAGGUAAAUCCGGUUCACUUUAACACUGAGGCGUGAUGACGAGGCACUACGGUGCUGAAGCAACAAAUGCCCUGCUUCCAGGAAAAGCCUCUAAGCAUCAGGUAACAUCAAAUCGUACCCCAAACCGACACAGGUGGUCAGGUAGAGAAUACCAAGGCGCUUGAGAGAACUCGGGUGAAGGAACUAGGCAAAAUGGUGCCGUAACUUCGGGAGAAGGCACGCUGACACGUAGGUGAAGUGAUUUACUCACGGAGCUGAAGUCAGUCGAAGAUACCAGCUGGCUGCAACUGUUUAUUAAAAACACAGCACUGUGCAAACACGAAAGUGGACGUAUACGGUGUGACGCCUGCCCGGUGCCGGAAGGUUAAUUGAUGGGGUCAGCGCAAGCGAAGCUCCUGAUCGAAGCCCCGGUAAACGGCGGCCGUAACUAUAACGGUCCUAAGGUAGCGAAAUUCCUUGUCGGGUAAGUUCCGACCUGCACGAAUGGCGUAAUGAUGGCCAGGCUGUCUCCACCCGAGACUCAGUGAAAUUGAACUCGCUGUGAAGAUGCAGUGUACCCGCGGCAAGACGGAAAGACCCCGUGAACCUUUACUAUAGCUUGACACUGAACAUUGAGCCUUGAUGUGUAGGAUAGGUGGGAGGCUUUGAAGUGUGGACGCCAGUCUGCAUGGAGCCGACCUUGAAAUACCACCCUUUAAUGUUUGAUGUUCUAACGUGGACCCGUAAUCCGGGUUGCGGACAGUGUCUGGUGGGUAGUUUGACUGGGGCGGUCUCCUCCUAAAGAGUAACGGAGGAGCACGAAGGUUGGCUAAUCCUGGUCGGACAUCAGGAGGUUAGUGCAAUGGCAUAAGCCAGCUUGACUGCGAGCGUGACGGCGCGAGCAGGUGCGAAAGCAGGUCAUAGUGAUCCGGUGGUUCUGAAUGGAAGGGCCAUCGCUCAACGGAUAAAAGGUACUCCGGGGAUAACAGGCUGAUACCGCCCAAGAGUUCAUAUCGACGGCGGUGUUUGGCACCUCGAUGUCGGCUCAUCACAUCCUGGGGCUGAAGUAGGUCCCAAGGGUAUGGCUGUUCGCCAUUUAAAGUGGUACGCGAGCUGGGUUUAGAACGUCGUGAGACAGUUCGGUCCCUAUCUGCCGUGGGCGCUGGAGAACUGAGGGGGGCUGCUCCUAGUACGAGAGGACCGGAGUGGACGCAUCACUGGUGUUCGGGUUGUCAUGCCAAUGGCACUGCCCGGUAGCUAAAUGCGGAAGAGAUAAGUGCUGAAAGCAUCUAAGCACGAAACUUGCCCCGAGAUGAGUUCUCCCUGAGACUUAGAGUCUCCUGAAGGAACGUUGAAGACGACGACGUUGAUAGGCCGGGUGUGUAAGCGCAGCGAUGCGUUGAGCUAACCGGUACUAAUGAACCGUGAGGCUUAACCUUACAACGCCGAAG
rnacentral:rRNA from 1 species